GAAAAUGCAGAAAUUCUGGAAAGAGAUGCAGCAGUACCAAUUGACAUUCCCAAACGAGAGAAAGAAGAUGCAAAACCAUUAAGUGAAGAUGCAAACAUAUCCGAUGUGGAUGACAAGGUUGGUAUGGAGAAGAAUGAAAAAGAGCUUGAUCAAGGCGGUAGUGCAUCAGAUGGUUUUUCAAUACCAUCACAGGAAGACGCAAUCACCACAGAGCAGCCUACAGAUACUACCAACGCAGAGGAAUCAGAAACAGUUGAGGUUCUGCAGGAGAAAAUGCAAAAUGCAGUUGACAAAGAUAUUGAAAUCCUUGAUUCAGGAAAACCAGUAGAAAAAUCGGUGGAACCUCAACUAUCCACUGGUACCAAUGACGAAGCUCGAGAGUACCAUAUUCAAGAUAAGCAGAAAAUUGGGGAGGAAAAUAAGGAGGUGCAAGGUGAGGAAUUGCCAGUUCGUGAUGAUGCUGUCGUCUCUGAACCUAAUAAUGAAGGAAAAGAGCGUAAUGUGGUGGUUGAGCAGCGGCUUGUGGAGGAGAGCUUUGAGAUGCAAGGGAACGAACCAGUGGCUGCUGAACCAGAAACUGCCGAUAAUGCUGCACAUGUGAUCGAGGAACCAGUGGAUGGAACUAAAGCUACGGCUGCUCCAGCAUCAGAAGCUGUAACUACCGAGACAGACCUGUCAAGGGAGAAAGAGCUUGGUGUAGCAGAUGACCACAACACACAUCGAUCUUGUGAUGCCGUGGAAGGUAAUUCUGUUGAUACUUCCCAUUCUUUUGGUUCUUCUACGCCUAUUGAAGUACAAGUUAUGGAUGCAAACAAGCUUAAAGAAUGGAUGAAAGUGGACAUGUCCCCAUCGUCACCUACUGCCAGCCAAGAAUCCUGUGAUAGUGAUGCGCUGUCUGAGAGCGAUAAAAAACUUAUUGAGGAGAAUGAAAAAUUAAGGGAGAUGAUGGAGAAGUUAAUUAAAUCAGGGAAUGAACAACUGACUGCCAUAUCCAGUCUUUAUGGAAGAGUUAAGGACCUGGAGAAGAGAUUGUCUAAGAAGAAGAAGCUAAAAUUGAAACGAAAUAGGGUAC
rnacentral:lncRNA from 1 species